rnacentral:rRNA from 1 species
UAGGGAAUCUUCGGCAAUGGGGGGAACCCUGACCGAGCAACGCCGCGUGAGUGAAGAAGGUUUUCGGAUCGUAAAGCUCUGUUGUUAAGGAAGAACGAGUGUGAGAAUGGAAAGUUCAUACUGUGACGGUACUUAACCAGAAAGGGACGGCUAACUACGUGCCAGCAGCCACGGUAAUACGUAGGUCCCAAGCGUUGUCCGGAUUUAUUGGGCGUAAAGCGAGCGCAGGCGGUUAGAUAAGUCUGAAGUUAAAGGCAGUGGCUCAACCAUUGUAGGCUUUGGAAACUGUUUAACUUGAGUGCAGAAGGGGAGAGUGGAAUUCCAUGUGUAGCGGUGAAAUGCGUAGAUAUAUGGAGGAACACCGGUGGCGAAAGCGGCUCUCUGGUCUGUAACUGACGCUGAGGCUCGAAAGCGUGGGGAGCGAACAGG